UACGUAGGUGGCAAGCGUUGUCCGGAUUUACUGGGCGUACAGAGCGCACAGGCGGUCGUUCCAGUCGCGUGUGAAAGCCCCCGGCUCAACUGGGGAGGGUCACGCGAUACUGAUCGACUCGAAGGCAGGAGAGGGAAGUGGAAUUCCCGGUGUAGUGGUGAAAUGCGUAGAUAUCGGGAGGAACACCAGUGGCGAAGGCGACUUCCUGGCCUGUUCUUGACGCUGAGGCGCGAAAGCUAGGGGAGCAAACGGG
rnacentral:rRNA from 1 species